UUCAAAAAGCGGGUGCCCUGUACAUUAUUAUGUAAUACAGGUGAGCAUUUCGGUGAGAGGUGUUCAGGUUGGACCAAGGUCAGUAGAAGAUGGAGAAGACAGAGGUUCUUGAGAAGGAACACACUUGCCAAUGAGGAAGUGAGAGGCUUAUUGCAGCUGUCCAAAGGUCUGAACACGUCCUCAACAAGACGACUGGACAGUGGCUCCCUACUGCUGUUUACCGGGUGAUUGGAUGCAUCGCCGAUCAAAGACAUCAGAUUCAUGUUGGACAUCGCCUGCGCCCAUGCAAAGAUUGCCUCGCUUGUUGAAGUUUGUCUUGUAGCUUAUUUGCAGGAUUGACAUUUGGUGUGAAAUGUAAUCUUUGCCUUGGAUAAUAAUAUUCUGCAUAAAACGAGUAUCAAAAUAAUUGUUGCACGCAGCAAGAAUUUUUUAAUGAAACUUCUGAUAAGAAAAAAAGAAAGAAAUCGAUAUCGUCGAUACAUACUAUAGAUUUGUUUCUAAAUUGUAGUACAGUACUCUAUCAGCUCAUAUCGUUUCAAGGUAUUUUAUUUAUUAUGUAUAUUUAUUAUUGGGGGAGGUACCCAUCAGUUCUCAAACAAAAAUACGGCACUUUUUUGAGUUCGCCUUUAAGAAAAUAAUUUUAAUUCAAAAAGUAUUUGCUGAAGUGAUGGAUUAAAACAAAAAUGAUAGUUAUUAUUAUUAUUAUUAUAAGGCGAAUUUAGGUAGAAUACUGUUCCUGUUCCUUCUAGAUGAAGGUAAAAUUUUUCUGUGGGCAAAUCUUCAAUCGGCCACUUAGCUAUGCAUUUGACGAUAUUUUAAAUAUUUAUUUUGAAUUGAAUUGAAUUCUGAGAAAUUUCAAGAAGAAAAAUAUCUCAACUUUAUUACAUGAAACUUUUGAGAAACAAACGGUUUCAUACAUUGGCCGUUAAGUUUGAGAAAAGAACAAGUUGUUUAUUUAACUUACAAACACUGUACUUCAAGUUAUAAUGCUUUGAGAAUUAUAGCGUUAUGAAAAAGAUAACAUUUGUCCACGUGAUUGCAGAAUUGCCCAUGUAUAAGAAACGACCCUUCUUUAAACUGCGGACAUACUUUUGUAACACAUGUUAAGAAUGAACUUACUUUGGUUUUGGUGUUUUGAUAUUUUGUCUGAUCAGUGACAGAUACACAUGUACUGUGCUGGGAUGGGUCUAAAACAAUGUUAAGAAAAUCAAACCAGGAGAGAAAUAGGGAUUUUCACGAAAUUAGUGCGCAUUCGUUAUUGCAGUAGGGGAAUACAUGUUACCAACGUGAUAAAUACUGCCCCUUCUUAGGGCCACUCAAAUUUAUCAGCAUUGCAUGAGUUAAUUUGUGUGUUGUUAGACUUUUUGCCAAUAUCGCAAAGCAGAAAUGUAAGUGGUCUCCUGAAAAACUUUUGUGUUCAUAUGCAUAAAAAUAUCUAUGUAGGACUGACAUUUAUCAUAAACUUUACAUUUUUAAUUUAGAAAAUUCAUCAUGCAAUUCAAAUUGAUUGCUUCGGCCGUCGCAAAAAGUUGGAGGGGGGUUAAAGUAACUUUCACCUAUGUUCUUUGUUCGAAGUGCUUUAUUAAUUGAUAUUUCUUUGGUCGAGAGGUGAUUGAGAGGAAAAGGUCUUAUUAGAUGCCAUUCCAGCACGUCUUGUUGGGGUAUUUUUUGCCAAUUGUUUCUUUAUCACUGAACACGGGAGACCAGAGUAAGGGAAUUAGCAUUUAUGAAUUAAUGAAUCUUAAGUCACCUUUUUUUGCGAAAUCUUUUCAGUUUUGUUUGCAUAUUUUUCUUGAAUUGUUAUGACUAGAAUAAGCUUGUAAAUUAACCAUGUCUUUCUGCCGUUCCUUGAUUCGCAUAAGUACAAAUUUUAGUUUUCACUCAAAGUCGUGCCAUUAACCUACCAAUAUUAAGGAUGUAAUGAAAUGAAAACAAAAUAACGUAAAACACUCGAAUCUUAAAAAUGACUAUUUUGUCUACCUCUUUAUGUGCGAGAAUCGCUACGACGGCAUAGAACAAGGUGUGCAUAAGUGCGAAUGCACGUGAGGUUAUCUAUAUGUACUAGUCCUGGUCAAUUUUUUAAUAUGAAUUUUGUUUUGGUAAGAGUUAUAUCGAAAUUCUCUUUUAUAUAAAUAAAUAGAAUUUGUGGUUUGAGCAGCAAUUUCCAAAGUGCAUAAAAUCCUUCAUAUGUGUUACUUAGUCUACUGUCUGGUAGACUUCUUGUAUUUUUUUGUAAAAGCAUCAUUUAUAGAAUUUUUUUAGAAAUUUGACGCUAUUGUAAUGACUGGUAUCAACAUAGAAAAAAACGC
rnacentral:lncRNA from 1 species